CGCUUCCUUGAUCAACUCCCGGAACAAAGGCUCGUCAAGGCCUCCCCCUCCCUAGGGAGGAGCCCACAGGACCACCACCGCGGGGACCCCAGCCCCGAGUGCCCCUCCCGGGACUGGAGAUGCGGAGCCCUUCGGGGCUCAGCGAGGCCUUUUCCCUGCUGGCUUCAGAGAUGGCUCUGUCACCCCUGCUACCCUGUCCGGAGCGGCCCAACUAGGAAACCCGUUCUUCUUAAUUUGGUACUUUGAAAACCGAUCCACAGUUCACACGCAUACGGUAAAGUCCACCAAUCUUCAGUGGAUAAGUCUAUGGCUUUUUCCGUAAGUAUAGAUCCAUGACCUCCUAGAUCAAGACAUAGGACAUUUUGCCAACACCCGUCCCAGAGGCUCUCUUUACGCGCCUUCCCGAUUGACGUUCCGCCAAAAGGUGUGGACACCAACCUCACAGUGGAGACAGAAGAACCAAGCAUUCAGGGUUAAACGGGGAAUUGUGACUCAAUAGACCUUGAAGAACACAUUCCAACAGAACUCUCCCAACCGUGGCUGCUUUUUUAUUUUUAUUUUUUUAAGGUAAUGCCAGCGAUGGAAGGGGAGGUGAGGACUUAUGCAAAUGUUUGGUCGGUAAAUGCUUUGCUGCAAAUGAUCUGUCAGGAGAAACCCACCCCUGAGCCUUCAUAGUGAGGAAUAGAGUCAGGGACCCAGCUCCCCCGCUGCGCCUGUUGGGAGCCCUGCUCCCAGUGUACACACGUGAGUGCCCGGCAGGGAAGGCGGAGCCUGUGCUGUGGCGGUAGUUCCGGGUUGAAUAACGUGAACCAGGCGUGCAUCCUGGGUCCUUUGCUGGGGGGUGGGGGGGGGGUGGAGGCUGCUUGGCGAUUGUCGUGGGAUAGAAAGAAUCCGAUCCCAAGAUGAGCAGUGCGUCCCUAUUCAGGGACCAUCCCUUCUCCACCCCCUUUGGGGAGGAUUUGGAAAUGGGGGUGCAUUUGUAGUUGUCACAGUGGCUAGGGGCUGCUUCCUGGCGUUUAGGGGGCAGGGGGCCAAGGACAGGGCUCCCACUGACAACGCUAGUGGCUGCCAAGAAAGUCCCAGGUGUCCUUCCGAAAGACCACGUUGGUUCGUGAGACACCGAGGAACCUUUUUUCAAGGUAAUUCAAGGAUUGGGGCAGGAACUAUUCCGAGUAAGAGAGGUGGUGAGCUCAUCCAGAGGCUGGGGGAGGAGAUGUUCAAGGACCCACGGGGGUCCAGCUGUGGCCACUUGGAGGGAGGAGCUGGGGGGUGGUUCCUGGGUAGGCGGGGCUAGCUGUCAUCAAUGGAGAGUGAGAAAGAGCCAUGGGUGGUCCACUAUGACUUUGGCUCCCCGCCCCCGGAAUGAGAUUCCUAGAAAGCCUAAGAAGCAUGGGAUUUAGCGUCGGGCAGAAUCAGGAGGUUGCCCCAAAAGCCAGGUAGGCCUUAGCUGGACAGAGAGGGUCUCUAUUACUGCCCUUAUUCUGCCCUGCCUCCCCAGCCCUCCACUUCUCCAAUUCUUUUUUUUUUUUUUUUUU